UUUUCAAUCAUUCAUUCACAAGAAAUAUUUUAUUUCCAUAAGGCUUUCAUUACUAUGUGAUUACACUGCCAGUUUUUGACAGAGUCCUAAGAAAAUAAUUUUUCAAGGCCCUCAGCUGAUGGUAGUGAGAUUCUUGUGACACUGAGCAUCUGGGUUUUUUGAGCUACAGUCACUAGUAGAGUUAACAGCAUAAACAUCAUGCAGCUUACACCUCUGUUUAUGGUAGAAUUUGAUGCCAGCUUUCAUUACUUCAAUCAGUUUCAGGGUCAGCCAGCUGACAGUGACCGCUCAACUUUUAAAAAUACAGAAGCAGCAAGCAAAUAAAGCAAAAUGAUGACCAGGCUGUAGUCCACAAUACCUGGACUCUCAUUUCUCUGACUAAAAGCCAUGUACCUGGUGUUGAUAUUCCCAUUACCAAACAUUGAAAUGUGAUAUAUCAAUAAUAUCAUCAUGGAGAAGGAAACAAGAACAGCUCUUUAUUCCAGAGCUCUGCUACUCUCUGUGAUGCUACCAAAUUUAUACUAUCCACCUACAGCAACAACAGCAAAGCAGAACCUGGGGUUUGUUUCAUUGUUUGCUUCUUUGGGCCUUGGUAAACACUUCUGCCAGAGAGAUUCUGCUGGAGAAAACAGCUUAGGGAAAAAAAACAAACCAACAACCAGCUCUGCAUGGAACACAGAAUCCAAGCCUUUGCUGGGUGUACAACCUGCAGUGACAGUAAUCUUUGCUACCACAGUGAUGUCACAGUGUCAGUGAAAUGAAGAUGCCUUUGAUAUCAAUGGACAUCAAGCUGGGUUUGGGAAGGCAAAUUAUCCAAGAAGAUGAAGCCUCUGGCCAAUAUGCCUGGGAUUGAGUCUGCAAUGCAUUCCUCAGGAUUCCUAGAAGACUGAGAAAUGAUGCUAAAGACUACGUGGACCAAGUUUACAGAAGUUCAAAAGGCAGAUUAACAGCAGUCGGGAGAAUAAAUCCCACUCUCCUUGUGUUCUUUCACUAUGAAGACCUUUUUUUGCUUAAGAAACCUUUCAGCUACAAAGUACUGUGGACUUGGGAAGGAAUCUCACUGAGGGGGAAUCAGAGUGUGGCUGGAUGAGCACUUGGCAGGCAGGUUAACAAGGUUAACUUUCCAAAGAACACCUCAGGACUCCUGCAUUUACUUUUGAAUAUAAGAAUAUUGACUGAUUGAACAUCGCACCAUAUCAAGUGUGUAUCCAGAAGAUACUUCAAACUUCAAACUUUGUGUGAGCAAAAUCACUUUUUAAAAACUUAAAAUGCAGCAAAAGCUUCAAGCAGUGCCUGAAGUCUUCUGGUCUUCUAACCACAAGCAAAAUCAGCAAGCCACAAAACACAAACCCAUGAUAAAUCAUGUUUUACUUACUCCAGUACUCUGAAAUACAGAAGGUCUUUUGAGACAAGAUGGGAAUACUGACCCCCACCAAGACUUCAAGGGUGAAGCAAUUUCUUGUAGGAGGCACAAGGCUGACAAAGCUGCUCUCAUAUGACCAGUAUCUUAACCAGCAGCCAUCUGCAGCUUUCAACCAGGAAAGGCAUAAGUUUGAAAGAUGGAACCUUAUAAGAAAAGUGAGAAGCUCCUUAUGUAUUCUUAUUGAAGACUUAUAAUGCUGCAGAAGUAGAGGGAAUUAAUGACUGAAUUCACUACACUCAGGUAAAAAAUAUCCAAACAAGAUAAGUGGAUUUCACAAUAACAUUAACUACAAGAUGUAAAACUACAACUGACUGAAAAUCUUAAAUGAAUAGUACUUGGGCUGAAGGAAGUAUUGGGAGCAUUUAGAUUGUCCACAGAGACUUAUAUUACUAUUAAUAGGCAUUUAUCAGUGCAAAUGUUUUUUUCUUGCUGAAUAGAUCUGGAAAUUCUAGAAUUUAAUGUGUUUAUAAUACAUUGUUGUUGCCUCAAGGUAACACAGAGAAAUCUGCUUCUACAACUUAUCCAAUCAUUUGAGGCAAUGCACAGCUCUAGCAGUGUUAAACACUCAUUUUCAGGCGCCUCUGAAAAUGGCCCUCUGAAAGGGUGACACUUGUUAUGAUUUUACUGAAAUUUGGUACUGGUUGACAUCCUGGUUCCCUGAUCUGAAUUUAUGGGUCACGAAAUUUUUAUCUUUGUUGCUUAAAGAAUUGGUGGUGUUUGUUUGCAUCUAUGCAGUUAUCCAAUGUAUCUAUUUAUGUUACUUGGGGGUAUUGGAAUCAGAAGAGUGAGACUAGUCUAAGAAAUUGAUUAGAUGAAUCUCAAAGAGGAAUCAUUGGAAAAUGUGGAAUAUGAAAAAAAAUUUCUUAAGAAAGAAUAUUCUUCAUGUUUGAUCUCAAUGUACUUUCAAGUCUAAUCAAUAAGAAAAGAGAUUUAAUCUGUGGAACAGAAAGCAGCCAAUAAAGCUCUAAGUGAUAGCCAGGUGCUUGAAAGGCAGGUUACUUGUUGGCUGAAUUGCCUCGUUAAGGUCUUGACAGCCUUCAGUGACCUGAGACACAGGGAAGGUUAGCAAAGCGUGGGAAAAAGGAUGUACAACUGAUGGUGGACAUAAAUAAUGAAGAAUUUUUGGGCAUAUGGACAUUUGGCAGAACCCCCAAGACAAGAAACAAACUGUUGAAGCCAACGCUGUGGUGAAUCAGCUCUGGUGGGGUAAAAGGCCGCUCCAGCAGGGGCAGACCAUGGCCACCCACUCAGGAAACCAUUGACUGAAAAGACUGAGCAUGCAGAUUAAUUAUCAUGAGAAGUGAGAGGAUCAUUAACCAACUGCAGACAGAAUACUAAUUAUGAAGAGAACUUGGUAGCUUGUAGUGAAUGAACACUAAUUCCUAUGUUUACUAAAAUAUAUAAAUACAUUAAAGAGUUGAAAUUAAAAGUUCUGGUACCUAUCAUGCUAGCUUUGUGAAUAUUCCACUGAGCACCCCCUUUCUGCACAGAACUUUAAAUAAGAGCAUGGAUCGCCCUCUUGAACACUGGGUACAAGAACCUAUUUUGAAACAGCAAAGGGAUGACAUUCAUGCGUGGAAGUACAAGAUGGUCAGUGCAUGCAAAUGGGACUGUCUAGAGAUGCAGUGGAGAAGCUUCCGUGAUGCAAUAAAAAUUAUCUCUUUGGACCAUCCUCCACCUUCACUUCCUUACCAUCCUUGAUUUUCUCUCUCUUAUGAAGCUGUGAGUGCCACCUAGGGCCACCCCUCACCAAUCAAACCCAUUUCUAAAAACCAUAUGGCUAACAUGUCUAACAUGGCUCUCACUCCACAUUCUUAUUUCCACUGAAUUCUAAGCAGUCCAGCUGGCCCCCUCACAAGUUUCUUCAUAGGAAGGCAACAUUCCCUGUGAGGGUGGUGAGGUCCUGGCACAGGUUGCCCAAAGAGUCAGUGGGACACAACAUCCCUGGAAACAAUCACAAUCAAGGUGGAUGGUGCUUUGAGCAACACGAUCUGGUUGGAGACGUAUCUGGUCUUUGUAGGGGUUUUGGACUAGAUGACUUUUAAUUGUGCCUUCCAACCCAAACUGGUCUAUGGAAAGCAGAUGUGGCAAACCACCCUCCCCUUACACUCAGGGUUUACCCCCAAGUGCCGAAGUGAUUGCAUGAAGAGCU